UACGGGGGGGGCAAGCGUUGUUCGGAAUUACUGGGCGUAAAGGGCUCGUAGGCGGCCAACUAAGUCAUACGUGAAAUCCCUCGGCUUAACCGGGGAACUGCGUCUGAUACUGGAUGGCUUGAGUUCGGGAGAGGGAUGCGGAAUUCCAGGUGUAGCGGUGAAAUGCGUAGAUAUCUGGAGGAACACCGGUGGCGAAGGCGGCAGCCUGGACCGAUACUGACGCUGAGGAGCGAAAGCCAGGGGAGCAAACGGG
rnacentral:rRNA from 1 species